UUGCCUGAAAUUUGGAACCCAGAAGAAGAAAUUUUUUUUCAACCAUAAGGAGCAAAAGAGCUUGACUUGACAGACUUGCAGCAUGGUCGGAAACAGAAGAGGUGAGAGAAUUGAAACAAUUGAGAAGGGAGAGAGAGAGACUGAAUUUGGGGCUAUGCCAGAUAAGCUGCCACAACUUUGUUUUUCUUCACUUCAGGUAAGAGAAAUUUUAUUAUUUAUUAAAGCAUUUAAUAUUUUGCUGUGUCUAUAAGAUUCUAAGGGCUUCUGUUCCUGC
rnacentral:lncRNA from 1 species